rnacentral:rRNA from 1 species
GCAACUCGCCUGCAUGAAGUCGGAAUUGCUAGUAAUCGCAGAUCAGCAUGCUGCGGUGAAUACGUUCCCGGGCCUUGUACACACCGCCCGUCACACCAUGGGAGUCGGUAACACCCGAAGUCGGUAGCCUAACCGUAAGGAGGGCGCCGCCGAAGGUGGGAUUGAUGACUGGGGUGAAGUCGUAACAAGGUAUC